CACUGUUAGAUCCUGUCCCCACCCUAAUCACUGCCACCUGGCAGUGCCAGGGUGCCUCUCCUCAGUUCGUGUGUGGCAGCAGCAGUGGCGGAGGCAGAGCAGACUUAUUUCAGAUUGCAGUACAGAUACAUGGACACAAUCAUGGCAGCCAGCUGGUGGGAAAGGAACAGGCAAAGGGUCUUUACUUUUAGUCCCCUGCCACCCAGACACCCUCUCUGAAGCUCUGUGAGAAGUCUGUCUCCUUCAGCAAGGCCUCCAAGAUGGCUCAAGCACCCCGGUCCAGUGGAGCUACCCUGACCUCCCCACCCCCUUACCUCCAAGGCCCCGAUUCCGGCUGCCACGCCCCCCACAGUGACCGCAUUGGCCCGGAGGUCAUACAGAAGCUGACUGAAACAACCCUUGGGGGAGGGGAGAGAGGUCCCCAGUCAGUAGCUGCACCCCCUCUUCAUGCAGCACUUAAGGCCAUCAAAGCAGCCCCCCGCUUUCCAUACCACACCUGUACAAUGUUGUCCUUAGCCCUCUCCUCCGUGCAGGCUUCUGUGGCUGUGCCGUUGCCACUGUUGGAGCAACAGUAUGGGGGAAAGGUAUGGUUCUUCAGGAAGUAGGGGGAGCCCUCAAAGUCCGUGUAGUUGUUGAAGCCACAGCACCCGAGCUGAAGAUGAGGAGGGCAGGGUGGUCAGUAGGGCCUUGUGCUUUCUUGCCCCUGCAGGGUCUCCCCCAGCCCACCUUACCCCUGCCAUGGUGCUGUUCCACACUUGCGUGAAGUCCUUCUGGGAGCCAUAGUCCUGCUUGAUGGCGGGCACGACCAGCAACGUCAGGAAGUGCUCGGCCUGGGUGGGGCGGGCCAGUGUUUAGGGCCCAGUAGGGAUGGUGGCCAGUGGCCAUUCACAGGCCACAGCCCACCUGCAGGGAUCCUCCCCAGCUUUCCCCCUUGCCCAAUCCCGCUCCUCACCAUCGUAGUGUACACCAGGGCCACCACGGCAGCUGCCACCUCCGCGAUGAAGAUGAGGAGGAGGAUCAAGAAGAACUGAGCGGGGAACAGAGGUCUGAGUUUGAGAAAGAGGAAGUCCCUCGUGCCUCACUUGUGACCCACCCAGUAAAAUGGGCAGCAGCCCCUUCUACCAAGGGCCCUGGAGUCCAGAGCUUGGUCUGGGGAUCCCCAGGGCCUGGAUUCUGGGGUCAGGGAACCCUGGGUCUUGGUUACAGGCCUGUGGAGCUGGGCUUGACGCACCAUCAUGAGGGCGCACUUGUUCUCCGAGUGAGCACCGUAGCAGCCCAGGAAACCAAGAGCGAAGAGUAUAGCACCGGCUGCGAUGAGGAAGUAGCCGACGUUGACGAACUGCAUGGCACUGGAUGACAGCGGCCCAAAGAUCUUCAGGAAAGAUGGCCCAUCGACUGACACCCAGAUGCCCACUGCCAACAGGGCAACACCACACAGCUGGGGACAGAGAGGCAGGCCUUAAAACAGUGCAGGCAAGCAGCUUCUUACCACGCAGUUGAAUCAGGAAGGUGGGAAACGAGAACUUUCUCCCUUUAUUGGCUAAGGACUGUAAAAACCCGUCCUGUAUGGAGGAAAAACGUUCUGUGGAGCCAGAAGGAUGGGAGCUGGGCCACCCAUAGCCAGUACCAGGCUGCACAUCAAUGCCGAUUAUAAAUGGGGUCAGGGGUUCCAGAAAUAUCCACAGGUUGGGGGAGGGCAAGACAAGAUUUUCCUCACUGCUGUCAGGGUCCUGACGCAUAACUAGGAGUGAAAACAAGCAGGUGAGGCUAACAAGGCCCCCCUCCCCCCAUUUCCUUGCCCAGCCAAGCACCUUUGUCCUCCCAUAGGUGAGAGUCACCAUAGCAGCAGAGGAGGGGCUGAGGUUUACAUCUGCUUCCAACUCUGGAGAGGAACUUGGUGAGAAGGGACACCUACCUUGAGGGCUCAUUUGGCUUCUCUGUAGGAUCAAACUCCAGGCCUACCCUUCAUCUAACCGAGACCUCUUCUUGCCUCACCAGGAAAAAUGGGGCACCAGAGGAGGGGUACAGCCAGGGCUUCUUGUGGAGGCCCUCCGGCUCAACCCCAAGACCUCAGGGAACCCAGAGGCCCAGACGGGGUAGGAGGUACACUCUCCAGAUGCCACAGCUCUUAGAGCAAAGCCUUGCUGACCCAGAGCAUCAGUGGAAGAAUGAACCCGCUACCACGUUGGUGUCCAGUCCCCAGCUGUAGAAACUGAGGCUAGAACCAGGAGUGAGGUGCAGAUUGUGGCUGGAUCCCAGGCAUGUUUGUCCAAGGACAGAGAGCCAGGCUCCCACCCUACAGGGUCAAAUUUCAAGGAGCCCUAGACCUGCUCUGCCCUGCCCAGCCUGGCAAAGCCUGAGCAACAGAGGCCAGAAACCAAACUGGAUUUGCUUUUAACCCCCUCGGGCCAGAACACCUGCUCUCCAUAUCCCUAGGAUCUGUCUGCCUUGUCCAGAUAUAUGGAUAAAGGUUAGUUCCCUGAAGCCCGAAGAAGCCCAAGGAAUGGACCACCCCGGAGUCAGGGAGGUAACACCUGCAGCCCAAUUUCCCCAAAGUCCUCUACACUUCCUGUCUCCACUUCCUCGACCUCCACUCACUUAAGCCAUUCUUUUUUUCUUUUUUUUUUUUUUUCACUUAAGCCAUUCUAAUUUGGCUCCAAGGUCUGUGAUGCUGUCUUGUGCUACACCUGGUGGAUGCUUCCUGCGCCAUACCCUCCUGGCCUCUCUGCGGCCAUGUUCUCCCUGUUUUCCUCCUAUUGCUCUUUUUUUCUUUCUUUCUUUCUUUCUUUCUUUCUUUCUUUCUUUCUUUCUUUCUUUCUUUUUCUUUCUUUUUUUCUAUUGCUUUUUUUCUGUCUGCUUCCUGGUGGCCAUUUCUCCACAUACCCUGUACAAGUUGGGUUUCGCAGAAUUCGCUCAGCCUGUGUGCUCUUACCCUCUCCCAUGGCCUCGCUGACCCUUUGUGGUCACAUGACUUCCAAAUAUCCACGUCCAGCUCCAACUGGAGCUGCAACCCCCUUGGGUACUCAGCUGCCCGGGGCCCAUCCCCUGGGUUGCUCAUAGCAGAGACACGGGCUUUAUCUUCAAAGCCUCUGUCUUCCCUGCCCCUCUGUCUGUCUCCCGGCCACCAUCCGAGGGCUUUGUCCUUGGUCCAUUUCUCCCCAUCUCCACCACCAUCUCCAGGGUUCAUGCCUCAUUACUCAGCUUCCUCAGACAUGCCCUAUACAAUCUGUUCCUGGUUUUCUGAACAAUACCUGAUUUCAUUGCCUCUGGGCCUUUUUCAUGGUUUGCGACCCUCGCUCAGUGCAAAUGCCCAGCCUCAGCUAUUUCCUCCAGAUAGUCUUCUCUGACCAGGGAUCAAGCCCUUCCUGGGGGCUCCCAUUGCCCCUGUGCUAAGGCCAGACCUAAUAGUUGCAACUGUCUGUCCGUCUGGCCUGCUGGACCUGAGAUCCUCAAGGGCAAAGAAAGGGCUCACUUACCUUUCCCCCAAGCGUCUUAGGCAACACAUGUUUGUUGAAUGAAUAAGGGUUGCUUGAGGCAGACUCUCUGCUCUGGGGUCUCUGGGCAUCUCUCCUUUCAGUUCCUUGUCCAUCCUACUGAGGCCACUGAAUUUCCUUGUACUCUAGGCAAGCUUGGGCAAAACUCUUCCCCUCCCUGGGCCCCCAAUGACUAUAAAACGGGGACAGUCACUCCUGUUAGCCUACUCCACCCUGCCCUAUGUCGAGACUAAAACUUCCUGUAAGGGAGGGGCUUCUCUUAAGCUUUUCCACCCCAACUUGUGCUCCUGAGACCGAAACUCAGCAUCUGGGGAGACUUCUGUACCCUAUCCUCAUGGGAAACUUGUGCAACAGAGUCUGGGCACAGGGAUCUCCCAUUUCUCAGCUUAAGCUCUGCUUAGGUUGUGACCCACUCCUGCAGGGAGGCCCAAAGAGCCCACAGCCCCCGUACUUACAAAGAUGAGGAAAUUGAAGAGGAUCAUCAUGGUUUUAAUGAAGCCGAAGCACUGCAUGGUGGCUUCUAGGAGGCAGACAAGUGUGAGUUAGGAAUUUGGGCCACCCGCCUCAGCAGCCACCUGGGCUGGCCCUGGCAUUUGGGCCCUGACAUAUCAGACUCCAGCGUCCAGAACCUGUAAACCACCCAAAUUCCCCUGCCUCUAGACUCUGACACCUCAGGACUGUUCCUAAGUCCUAUCCUGACACCCCUGGCUCGCUGUACUGCCCAGGCCCUCUCCCAGCACCUGACACUCUGACACACUAAACCCCCGCAGGUUUCUCCAUUGGCACUCCAAGCCCAACAUCCAGACUAGAGGUCACUCCAGGCCCUUCCUUGGCAUCUGUAUACCCCGGACUCCUCCGCCAAGCCAGCCCUGGGCUCUUUCAUUACCCUCCCCGUUGGUCAUCAGCUUCCCAAACCCAUUUCCAGAUUAACUUUGCUUCACAGGAUAAUCCCUAUCCUGUGUCAUCACCUGUUCAGGGCUCUCGGUAGUGAGUUCCGAAAGAAGGAUCUGCUGAGGCUCCAGAGGGCACAGACAACUCCAGGGAAUCGCCACUUGAGUGGGCAGGCAGGGAGACAGAGCUGGCUCUCAGGCACCAAUGCUCACCUGCAGGCGGGGCAGGAGUUUUAAAGUCCUCUGUUCGCCUUCCCGCCCGCCCCACCCAGCCUCCUCUUGCCCUGCUGCCCCCUGCUGCCGGGAGAUCUAUCCCCAUAGUCACAGGAGCAGCAGGCCCCGUCGGCCUGGCAACGCCAACCGCAGCAACACCCUUCCUGAUCUGGAGAAGGAAGAGAAGUCUGAGGGUAAAGAGCGGCCCCUGGAAUUUCUGCGUGCCCUCCCCACAGCAGUGCGCGGUAGCUCCCUAGCCUACACCUGCCGCUCCGUGCACCUGCCCUGCAUGUUCACAGGCGCACCUGCCGGAGCUGCCCUCUCCAGUCACGCGCAGACACAUAUGUAACCCCCUGCCAGUGCUCGUGAGUGUGCAAAUACAUACGCACACCCAUCACACACACUCGACACUGUGUGUGGACUGACUCCCAGCAACUAAGAAACAACAAAGCAACAUCUGAGGCACAUACUUAAAGCCUCUCUGUCUCUGUCUCUCUGUCUCUUUGUCUCUCUUACACACCCUUUUGGGGAAAUGACCCAGGUUUAGCAGCUUCUACUCCCUCCUCUGAGUAGCAAAUGACCCCUAGUCCUUUUUCCUCUACAAAAUCUUGAUUUCCCCAUCUUUCUCCUCCAUUCAUCUUUCCUCCUUACUCGUCUCCCUCCCCGUACUUUCUCUUGCUUCCUCUCCUUCCAGCGUGUUCAGCGAUGUGUCAAGGACGCCCCUUUCCACCGGCAGGUGGCACCCUAAUCCCACGAAAGCGGCACCCCAACUCCAAGCCGGCAAACCCCUGCCCGUCUCUUUGCACUGAGUCCUGUGGCCCUAUUUCCACUCUAGCGCUCCCGACCUGCAGGAAGCAGAGCCAGGUCAGCUCCAUUUAUGACCCCAGUGCCCAGCACAUAUGAAGUUGUUAGUGAACAAUUCCUGAUUGAUUGGAUGAAUAAAUGAGCACAGAACAGCAAGAGUUAAACGUCUGGGCUUUAGACCUUGGCCACCAGGGAUUUGAACCCCUGCCUGCCUCUGGUUGUGUGACCUCACCUAACUGAGCCUCAGUUUCUUUAUACAGUCGAUCCUUUUUAUUCAUGGCUUCCAUACCUGCGAAUUUACUAGAAUUUAUUUGUAACCCCACACCAAUACUCAUGUCACUUUUGCGGUCGUUCAUGGACAUUUGUAGAGCUGCAAAAAUGUUGAGCUGCCUCAUUCACGUGUUCUCAGCUGAGGCCGAACAAGAGGCUACUCUGCCUCCUUGUUCUACCUCUUACCAUGUAAACAUAUGUUCUUGUGGUCUAUUCAGUGUCACCUUUUUUUUUUUUUUUUGCAUUUUUAUGCUUCUUGUUGGUGAUUUAUGAAAUAAUGCUGUUAUUCAAAUAAUGCUGAAGUGCUGUCUCAUGUUUCUGAGCACAAGAAGGCUGUGAUGGGCCUUACAGAGGAAGUAUGUUAGAUAAACGUCAUCCAGGUAACAAGUUAGAGUGCUGUUGACUGUGAGUUCAAUGUUAGUGACUCAACAACAAUAUACUUUAAAUUAGGUGUCUAUAAACAGAAAUACACAUAAAACAAGGUCAUGUCCAGAUUGAUCAGUUGACAAAAAUGUGACCAGAGGCUGGUAGGAAUCUAACCCUGUAGGUGCAUCGGCUCGAUUUGCUAAUGUGCUAUUUGUGGCGGGGACUUCAUUAGAACAUAGCUACUGUGAAUAAUGAGAAUCGACUGUAUGUGAAAUAGGAAUAAUGAUAGAGUCUCCUUGUAGGGCUGUUGUGGGGUUAAUGAGAGAGUGUUUGUAAAAUACCCGGCACUGUUUGGCACACAGCAGAAGCUUAAUAAACAUUGUUAAUAUUGUC